GUAGCUCAGUCAGGAGAGCAAGAGACUUUUAAUCUCAGGGUUGUGGGUUUGAGUCGCACAUCA
rnacentral:tRNA from 1 species